rnacentral:rRNA from 1 species
CACUCCUGCGGGAGGCAGCAGUGGGGAAUUUUGGACAAUGGGCGAAAGCCUGAUCCAGCAAUGCCGCGUGAGUGAAGAAGGCCUUCGGGUUGUAAAGCUCUUUUGUCAGGGAAGAAACGGUGAGAGCUAAUAUCUCUUGCUAAUGACGGUACCUGAAGAAUAAGCACCGGCUAACUACGUGCCAGCAGCCGCGGUAAUACGUAGGGUGCAAGCGUUAAUCGGAAUUACUGGGCGUAAAGCGUGCGCAGGCGGUUUUGUAAGUCUGAUGUGAAAUCCCCGGGCUCAACCUGGGAAUUGCAUUGGAGACUGCAAGGCUAGAAUCUGGCAGAGGGGGGUAGAAUUCCACGUGUAGCAGUGAAAUGCGUAGAUAUGUGGAGGAACACCGAUGGCGAAGGCAGCCCCCUGGGUCAAGAUUGACGCUCAUGCACGAAAGCGUGGGGAGCAAACAGGAUUAGAUACCCCUGUAGUCCC